UGGGCCGUGGUGUAACGGUAGCACGAGGGAUUUUGGAUCCCUCUGUUCAGGUUCGAAUCCUGACGGCCCAA
rnacentral:tRNA from 1 species